rnacentral:rRNA from 1 species
CUACGGGUGGCUGCAGUGAGGAAUUUUGCGCAAUGGGGGAAACCCUGACGCAGCAACGCCGCGUGAGCGAAGAAGGCCCUCGGGUCGUAAAGCUCUGUCAAGUGGGAAAAAAAUUUUUUGAUCAAUAGUCAAAAGACUUGAUGGUACCACUGGAGGAAGCACCGGCUAACUCCGUGCCAGCAGCCGCGGUAGAUACGGAGGGUGCAAGCGUUGUUCGGAUUUACUGGGCGUAAAGAGCGUGUAGGCGGUUUAGCAAGUCAGAUGUGAAAGCCCUGGGCUCAACCCGGGAAGUGCAUUUGAAACUGGUUCACUAGAGUAUGGGAGAGGGGAUUGGAAUUCCUGGUGUAGAGGUGAAAUUCGUAGAUAUCAGGAGGAACACCCGUGGCGAAGGCGAUUCUCUGGACCAAUACUGACGCUGAGGCGCGAAAGCGUGGGGAGCAAACAGGAUUAGAUACCCGGGUAGUC